rnacentral:rRNA from 1 species
GAUGAACGCUGGCGGCGUGCCUAAUACAUGCAAGUCGAGCGAACAGAUUAGGAGCUUGCUCCUCUGACGUUAGCGGCGGACGGGUGAGUAACACGUGGAUAACCUACCUAUAAGACUGGGAUAACUUCGGGAAACCGGAGCUAAUACCGGAUAAUAUAUUGAACCGCAUGGUUCAAUAGUGAAAGACGGUUUUGCUGUCACUUAUAGAUGGAUCCGCGCCGCAUUAUCUAGUUGGUAAGGUAACGGCUUACCAAGGCAACGAUGCGUAGCCGACCUGAGAGGGUGAACGCACACACUGGAACUGAGACACGGUCCAGACUCCUAGGGGAGGCAGCAGUAGGGACUCUUGCGCAAUGGGCGAAAGCCUGACGGAGCAACGCCGCGUUAGUGAUGAAGGUCUUCGAAUCGUAAAACUCUGUUAUUAGGGAAGAACAAAUGUGUAAGUAACUAUGCACGUCUUGACGGUACCUAAUCAGAAAGCCACGGCUAACUACGUG